AUUCCAGCUCCAGUAGCGUAUAUUAAAGUUGUUGCAGUUAAAAAGCUCGUAGUUGGAUUUCUGGUUUGAUGCGCUUGGCCCGCCAUGUCUACAUGUGUGAGUGCCGACGCGCGUCUACCAUCCUUCUAGAGAACGUUUCUACCCUUCAUUGGACUGGACUCGCAAUCUAGAUCUUUUACUUUGAAAAAAUUAGAGUGUUCAAAGCAGGCUUGUGCUGUGAAUACAUUAGCAUGGAAUAAUAAUUUAGGACUUUAGCCCUAUUUUGUUGGUUUCUAGGACUGAAGUAAUGAUUGAUAGGGAUAGUUGGGGGUGCUAGUAUUCAACGGCCAGAGGUGAAAUUCUCGGAUUUGCAAAAGACUAACUUAUGCGAAAGCAUUUGCCAAGGAUGUUUUCAUUA
rnacentral:rRNA from 1 species